rnacentral:rRNA from 1 species
AGAGUGAACGCUGGCGGCAGGCCUAACACAUGCAAGUCGAACGGCAGCACAGAGGAGCUUGCUCCUUGGGUGGCGAGUGGCGGACGGGUGAGGAAAACGUCGGAAUCUGCCUAUUUGUGGGGGAUAACGUAGGGAAACUUACGCUAAUACCGCAUACGACCUACGGGUGAAAGCGGAGGACCUUCGGGCUUCGCGCAGAUAGAUGAGCCGGACGUCGGAUUAGCUAGUUGGCGGGGUAAAGCCACCAAGGCGACGAUCCGUAGCUGGUCUGAGAGGAUGAUCAGCCACACGUGGAACUGAGACACGGUCCAGACCUCCUACGGGAGCAGCAGUGGGAAUAGUUGGACAAUGGGCGACAAGCUGACUCCAGACAUGCCGCGGUGUGGUAGAACG